rnacentral:tRNA from 1 species
UGGAACAUAGGUUAAGUUAAACUGUCGGGUUCAUGUCUCGGUGUUACGGGUUGUUGUUCUUG